CAGUCGCCGCGGGAAUACGAAGGGGGCUAGCGUUGCUCGGAAUGACUGGGCGUAAAGGGCGCGUAGGCGGCGAUCAAAGUCAGGCGUGAAAUUCCUGGGCUCAACCUGGGGGCUGCGUUUGAUACUUGGUUGCUAGAGUGAGGAAGAGGGUCGUGGAAUUCCCAGUGUAGAGGUGAAAUUCGUAGAUAUUGGGAAGAACACCGGUGGCGAAGGCGGCGACCUGGUCCUUGACUGACGCUGAGGCGCGAAAGCGUGGGGAGCAAACAGGAUUAGAUACCCCGGUAGUCCCUGUCUCUUAUAC
rnacentral:rRNA from 1 species